AAAGUUAUAUUUGAAUUAAAUAUUUUCCUUAGAAAAAUCGUCGGGGCUGAGCCCCAUCUGCAUUUUUUCUAGCGGUACGGCGCUGUUGAAUGAAAUUUUUCGACUGCAUUUAGCAGUGUCCUUCGAUUUUGGACAAUUAGUCAUCGAAAAUGAAUAUGGCAGCACGGAAUUAGCCGGAACAUACUCAUUUGGUCGUAGAUCCAGGUUCUCAUAUGGAACGCCAAUUGUUUAUACGCGUUUUGCCAAUUUCUUGGCAUGGAUUCAAAGCAAAAUAACCAAUCAAUGCACGUAUGCACCUAAAGAAGCCAGCCAUGGCGAGAACUUCAAACAAACUUGUGUCUUCAUCCGAGAAUAAUAGUAAAAAUUCAUGCGGAUAAAAGUGAUGUACCUAAAUGUCCAAAUUGGAAAUCCAUUUCCUUCAUAUCAAAGGGGAGAAAAUAAAUCAAAGAAAUGUUGAACUGGCAAUUGAAUAAUAUAUAUCCAUAGGCCAUGUAUGGCUUAAUUCACUGGAAAGUGAGUUACCAUCAGUACUGUCCACCUUACAACACUGGUCACAUCGAUUCUUGGAGAAUAAAUUCUGCACUAAUC